GACGAACCGUGCGGACGUUGUUCGGAAUCACUGGGCUUAAAGGGAGCGUAGGCGGGCUAUCAAGUCUGGGGUGAAAUCCCACGGCUCAACCGUGGAACUGCCUUAGAUACUGACGGCCUCGAGGGAGAUAGGGGCAUGCGGAACUGUAGGUGGAGCGGUGAAAUGCGUUGAUAUCUACAGGAACUCCGGUGGCGAAAGCGGCGUGCUGGAUCUCUUCUGACGCUGAGGCUCGAAAGCUAGGGGAGCAAACGGG
rnacentral:rRNA from 1 species